AGAUGAGCAUGCGUCCCAUUAGCUAGUUGGUAAGGUAACGGCUUACCAAGGCAACGAUGGGUAGGGGUCCUGAGAGGGAGAUCCCCCACACUGGUACUGAGACACGGACCAGACUCCUACGGGAGGCAGCAGUGAGGAAUAUUGGUCAAUGGGCGCAAGCCUGAACCAGCCAUGCCGCGUGCAGGAUGACGGUCCUAUGGAUUGUAAACUGCUUUUGCACAGGAAGAAACCCUCGGUCGUGACCGAGCUUGACGGUACUGUGAGAAUAAGGAUCGGCUAACUCCGUGCCAGCAGCCGCGGUAAUACGGAGGAUCCAAGCGUUAUCCGGAAUCAUUGGGUUUAAAGGGUCCGUAGGCGGCCAGAUAAGUCAGUGGUGAAAGCCCAUCGCUCAACGAUGGAACGGCCAUUGAUACUGUUUGGCUUGAAUUAUUUGGAAGUAACUAGAAUAUGUAGUGUAGCGGUGAAAUGCUUAGAGAUUACAUGGAAUACCAAUUGCGAAGGCAGGUUACUACAAAUUGAUUGACGCUGAUGGACGAAAGCGUGGGUAGCGAACAGGAUUAGAUACCCUGGUAGUCCACGCCGUAAACGAUGGAUACUAGCUGUUGGGAGCAAUCUCAGUGGCUAAGCGAAAGUGAUAAGUAUCCCACCUGGGGAGUACGUUCGCAAGAAUGAAACUCAAAGGAAUUGACGGGGGCCCGCACAAGCGGUGGAGCAUGUGGUUUAAUUCGAUGAUACGCGAGGAACCUUACCAAGGCUUAAAUGUAGAUUGACCGGUUUGGAAACAGACUUUUCGCAAGACAAUUUACAAGGUGCUGCAUGGUUGUCGUCAGCUCGUGCCGUGAGGUGUCAGGUUAAGUCCUAUAACGAGCGCAACCCCUGUUGUUAGUUGCCAGCGAGUCAUGUCGGGAACUCUAGCAAGACUGCCAGUGUAAACUGUGAGGAAGGUGGGGAUGACGUCAAAUCAUCACGGCCCUUACGCCUUGGGCUACACACGUGCUACAAUGGCCGGUACAGAGAGCAGCCACU
rnacentral:rRNA from 1 species